UACGUAGGGUGCGAGCGUUGUCCGGAAUUAUUGGGCGUAAAGAGCUCGUAGGCGGCUUGUCGCGUCGGAUGUGAAAGCCCGGGGCUUAACUCCGGGUCUGCAUUCGAUACGGGCAGGCUAGAGUUCGGUAGGGGAGAUCGGAAUUCCUGGUGUAGCGGUGAAAUGCGCAGAUAUCAGGAGGAACACCGAUGGCGAAGGCAGGUCUCUGGGCACUUACUGACGCUGAGGAGCGAAAGCGUGGGGAGCGAACAGG
rnacentral:rRNA from 1 species